rnacentral:rRNA from 1 species
AAACAUCUUUUCUUGUUAGUUUUUGAAGUAUGGCCUGCCCGCUGACGUUUAGUUGAAGGGCCGCGGUAUUUUGACCGUGCAAAGGUAGCAUAAUCAUUAGUUCUUUAAUUGUGAUCUGGAAUGAAUGGCUUGACGAGACAUGAGCUGUCUUAGUGUUGAAUAUUUUAUUGAAUUUGGUCUUUGAGUUAAAAUUCUUAGAUGUUUUUAUGGGACGAGAAGACCCUAUAGAGUUUGACAUUUGGUUUAUUCAUUUAUUGGUUGUUUGUUUAUUUUAUUGGUGAGUGGGCUUUUUGUUUUGUUGGGGUGAUGAGAGGAAUUAUUUAACUCCUCUUGGUUUUAGUUAUAUUGAUUUAUAUUUAUUUGAUCCAUUUAUUUUGAUUAUAAGAUUAAAUUACCUUAGGGAUAACAGCGU